rnacentral:lncRNA from 1 species
UAUUUAUUGAAUUAAAUUAUUGUUAAGUUGUAUGUUGGCUUGAAACGUGCAGUUUCUUUGCUGUCCUGUAGAUGGCGACAAUGCGCCUUUUCUCUUUCAGCGGAAACAGGAAGUGCGAUCAGAAGUCUCUGGGAUGUGGUUGAGUACGGCGGUGGCAGCGAUUCUAGCCAUCUGUCUUGCUAUUUAUUACGAGCAGAGGAAAGCAGUUGAUGACAGGUCGGGUUUCUCUUCAGAAAUUGUAUGACGUUUACAACUUUACUGUUGCGAAGUAUGUCCUCUGCUUUUCGCCGUCACAUCAUUUGGGAGUCACAGGGGCUUUUGGCCUACCUUCAUCCUCGACCGUGGACCCCCGGCUCAGUGAUCCUGGAGAGCAGCACUCCCAGUCCACCUGGAGGGAGCAUCUUCCAGCUGGAGGAGUCGGAGUAUCUGUCCUGGCUGCUGGGUGCCAGAGCCGUGGCUGCGCUGUUGUGUGACAGGCUGGCUGUCCAGAGAUGUGCGCUGGUCAGCAGACCUCACAAAGACAGGCCUGCUCAGAUUCGCAUUCUCCCUCUUCACGGUCUGGAUGCAGAGUGGCGCCCUCACCUCGCUGGAGAAGAGGAGCACAACGCCUACGACCCCGGUUACUGCACCUCCAAGACUGCAGCUCGAUGGAGUGACUCCAGCCUCACGGACAUCCAGACCAGGAUCCGAUCCAAACUCCCAUUCCAAGAUGCUCAACCUAAUCUCACUUUCCUUGGGGAAGAUCCCGCUCAUCCUGGGCUUUUUUCGCGCAUUGUCCGUGGGGAAGAGCAGCAUUGGAGGGUCUGGGAGGAUACAGAUCAUGUGGCUUUUCUCACCCCUUUCCCCAACUCCCCAGGCUUCACAGUGCUCGUCCCACGUCGACCUCUAACGUCUGACAUAUUCAAACUGGAAAAAAGCCAUUAUGAAGGGUUGGUGCUGGCUGCCAAGAAGGUGGCUGGUCUCCUUGAGGAGGGUUUGGGUGCCUGGGGGGUGGGGCUUAUUUUUGAGGGUUUUGAGAUUGAUUACGCUCAUGCCAAGUUGAUCCCACUUUUACCACGACUAUCAGGGACAACAGAAAACCCCACUAAAUGCCAGCCUCCCCAGUUUCACCCCACUUAUCCUGGAUAUGUGACCUCAGAGGAUGGACCGGAGGCCGGCUCAGAAACUUUAGGAAGGAUGCACUGUAAAAUUAUUGAUGCAUAA